GCUAAGUUCUUGUUCCAGCAUUUCACUGCCAAGUGCCAGAAGAAUGAGAAAUAUGCUACUUCCAGAUUGAACAUCUUUUUCAAUCCUAGUAAAAUAUGACAAAGUACAGAGAAGCCAAAAAAAUUUUGGAACAUCAAGCUCAUCAGAAAUGCUGCUUAUUGGCUGGGUGCGGUGGCUCACGCCUGUAAUCCCAGCAUUUGGGAGGCCAAGACUAACACCACAUCUACAGACACUGACCCUAGAUCACACCUCCAGGAGACAGGAGACGACAUCUUAACACUUUUCACCAUGCAUCCUCCUCUUGAAUCAGAGUGGACUAUUUGUAACUUUCACCAGUUAUGAAAAGUUUCUUGCUUUUAAACAGAGUGAAGCCAUGGAGAUAGAAUGUUAUGUCUCUGUAACAGUCAAAUAAUGCAAAGUGAAAUGUAUUUUAUUUGCCUCAUAAAACAGGACUUCUGACACUAUGGCAUAGUCCCUGCAAAAAAAGAAAUUGUCUGAAGAUAUAAUAAUUUGUGAUGUGAUCUCAGUGUAUAUCAUAUAUAAUAUAUAUGUGCAUACUUGUAUUCAUUCUUUUAAUUCAUUUAUUAAAUAAAAUGUGUUGAGCAUUUGUUACAAGCCUGACUCACCACCAUAAGAUUGAAAACAUGAAAAUAUAAGAAUACUCAAAUUUUCCUUUCCAUUUCCUUGUCAGAAAUAUUCAUUUAGUCUGUAACAAUUCUUAGAACAAAAUAACAACUUCAGGCCAGCUGCCAAAUACUUACCACUACCACUAUCAAAACUCUUUCUGGAAGUAGAUGCAACUUUGACUCACCUCACUGACAAUAACUUAAUUUGUCGUGGGUUCUAGGUGGUCUAGGUGUCCCAGACACAGCAGAGAAAUAAAAUAAAGACCCUGAUACCAGGAAGCUUACAUUCCACUGGGAGAAACAAAAAUAAACAGAUGAAUAGAAAGUAUAAUGCAAGCCAGGGAAGAAGAACGAGAAAGCAUGGUAGAAAGGUAGCAAGUAAUGAAGGAUGGGGAUUUUCUAUCUAAAUAAGAUGGUCCAGGAAGUCCUAAGUAGACGACAUGUGCACAGACACCUGAAUAGAAUUAUGAAGGAAGCCUGUGUAUAUGUUGGGAGAAAGCAUUACAGCCAAAGGGCAUAGCAAGGGCAAAGACCCAGGUAAAAACAUAUUCAGUAUGUUCAAGGAACAGGGAGGAGACCAGUGUGGCUGGGGUGCAUGGAAAAGUGGUAACAUUAUAGAAAACAAGAUGGAAAUGUAAGUUCUUGUCUUUGUAUUUUAUAGUUAAUGGGAUGGAAAGUCUUCUGUAGUGUUCUAAGAUAAAAAGAGACAUAAUCUGAUUGACAUAUCUAAAAGGUCACUUUGUUUUCUGUAUGUAAAUUAGAUCUAGGGGAACAAGAGUAGAAGAUAAGUCAUAAGGCUUUUGGUGGCAGUCAAGGUGAUGGUUUUGGCAAGGGUGAUAAUGUUGAGGCACUGCUUAAAAGUGGUUGGAGUUUGGGUGUAUUUCAGAAGCAGAGCCAAAGGAUUUAUGAAUGUGUCUUGGGUAUAAAAGAAAAAUACCAUCAAGGUUGAGCCUGAGCACUCUGAUAAGUGGUGGUUUCAUUUAUUAAAAUAUGGAAAAUUGAAGAGAAGAAGAAACCAGCGUUUAGUUUAGAAACAUAGUAAGUUUGAGAUGCCCACUAGGCAUCUCAACGGAGAUGUCAAAUAGUUAAAUAUGUGAGUCUAGAGUUCAGGGAGAGCUUGAGACUGGAAAUAAAAAUUUGGGAAACAACACCGUAAUAAUUUGUAGAGCCACAGGACUGGAUGAGAGCACUCAAAGGAUGAGUGUGGAUUAGAAGACAGGAGGACCAAAGACUGAGGGCUGGGUCUUUAACAACAUUUUUAUGGAUCUGAAAGAGGAGAAGUAGCAGCAAAAUGGUCCAAUAACAAAUGGCAGUGGAGAAGCAGGAAAACCUGGGGAAUGUGGGGUGCAAGAAUGCAACAGGAGAAAAUAUUUCAACAUGGUAAAAGUUAUCAACAGACUCAAACAUAGUGACAGGACAAGAUGAGGACUAAACAGUGUUCAUGUGGAGAUUGAGAUAGAAACUAAAAAUGGACAACCUAGGGCACUAGUGAUCUCCAUGUAGAGUAUAGCUUGGGACAGUACCCACAUAGAGUAGGUGCAACAGAAAGUAGCAGAUCAUGGUAAUGUAGGUAGUAAGUAUAAAACCAUUUUUCCAGGAGAGUUAUG